rnacentral:rRNA from 1 species
AUUGAACGCUGGCGGCAGGCCUAACACAUGCAAGUCGAACGGUAACAGGAAGAAGCUUGCUUCUUUGCUGACGAGUGGCGGACGGGUGAGGAAUGUCUGGGAAACUGCCUGAUGGAGGGGGAUAACUACUGGAAACGGUAGCUAAUACCGCAUAACGUCGCAAGACCAAAAAGGGGGACCUUCGGGCCUCUUGCCAUCGGAUGUGCCCAGAUGGGAUUAGCUAGUAGGUGGGGUAACGGCUCACCUAGGCGACGAUCCCUAGCUGGUCUGAGAGGAUGACCAGCCACACUGGAACUGAGACACGGUCCAGACUCCUACGGGAGGCAGCAGUGGGGAAUAUUGCACAAUGGGCGCAAGCCUGAUGCAGCCAUGCCGCGUGUAUGAAGAAGGCCUUCGGGUUGUAAAGUACUUUCAGCGGGGAGGAAGGGAGUAAAGUUAAUACCUUUGCUCAUUGGCGUUACCCGCAGAAGAAGCACCGGCUAACUCCGUG